GACCCGAGCAUUGGUGCCUGCCCUGGUACCACCUGAGGGUGGGGUGGAGGGCACGGGCGGGGCUGACUCAUCUGCGUUGGGAGCUGAUGCCUGGCAGCGGUGCUGGCCAGUGGGUGUGUUUGUUGAUCCAGUGAAUGGAGGAAUGUGAGGAGGUUGGUGGGGAGUGAGCUUUGACCUGCAGCCACCUCCCCUGUCCACCUGCCUGGGGGAAAGUCAGAGUCCUGAGUCUCACUCAGAGGCUGGAGCAGGAGGUCAGGUGUGGGCGAGGGGUCCACCUUUCCUGCCCUGAUGGGGGAGGGAGGCCCAGCGCCCCCAGGGCCGCUCCUGCCUGGGGCUGUCUCCCUUGCACCCAGUCAUGCUUCCGAGCUGCACACCUGGUCCAGAGAGGCCAGCACAGGCCGGAGCAGGGUGAAGAAGGUGGGGUGAACGUGAUUUAGUUGGAGAGAGGUUGGAGAAGUCCCUGGGGUCGGCAGGGAGUGCAGAGGAGGGCUUUGGGCCCUGAUUAAGAGUGUGUGUGUGUGUGUGUGUGUGUGUGUGUGUGUGUGUGGAGUGGAGGCCGAGGUCAGAGGUCUGGGAGGGUGGAAAUGUGGACACUGAAAGGGGGUUUUCUGUCAGGCUUGAACCCACCAUGCCCGGGGCAGCAGGGUUCAACCCGGCUUGAGCACUGAUUUUCUAAGACAUACAGAGGCCCCCUCCUCUUUUCCUUCAGUGGCUCACCCUCAACCCUCUGUACCUCCAGCGCUCCCAGACUCCAUCCCGGCCCUAUUCUGAGCUUGCUUCCUGGCCCUGGGGUUGAAGAGAGGACCGAUUUGGCCUGAGAAACACACCACCUGCAGUCACUGCCUGCGGCUUCCGGAGCUGCUUCUUGGAAGCCAUGGACUGCCUGGAGCCUCCCCUCCUGGGUGUCGGUCCUUCCUCGGAGCCGGGUACACAAGUGCCGGCCCCCAGCUGCAGGUACCCAGAUGCCUGAGAACAGGGUCGUGCAGGUACAGGCUGGUACUGUGACACACCCAGGCGGAGCCACAUGUUCCUGGCCACUGGCACAGAGUGCAAGAGUGGCCCUGCCACUGUAGGCCUGUGGAGAGCUUGCCUCUACCUCUUGCUGGAAGAUUGGGAUGAGGGGAGAGCAGGCCUUGGCACCGACAGCUUGAGUUCUGCUAGAAACAGGCAGGCAGGCGUGGGCGUUCUGAGAGAAAUCCUCCCAGCCUGAUGUUGGUGCCGCCGUGCAGUCAGGACAGCCCUGCAUGCAGCAGGCGGCCACUUGCAGGCCCAGAAGGGCUUCCUGGGGUCCACCUGAGCAGCAGCCANNNNNNNNNNCCAUCCAUCUGCCCAUCCCUUCAUCCAUCUACCCAUCCACCUACCCAUCAUCCACUCAUCCACCCAUGCUCCCAUCUACCCACCCAUUCAUCCACUCAUCCACCCACCCUCAUCCAUUCAUCUGCCCAUUCAUUCAUCCAUCCACCCACCCAUCGAUCCAUCCACCCACCAUCCACUUACCCAUCGGCCUACCCACCCAUCAUCCACUCAUCCACCCAUCCACCCACCUACCCACCCAUUCAUCCACCCAUCCUCCCACCCUUAUCCAUCCAUCUGCCCAUCCAUUCAUCCAUCCACCCAUCCACCAACACAUCCAUCCACCUACUCAUCCACCCAUCCACCUACCCAGCCAUCAUCCACUCAUCCACCCAUCCCCCCACCUACCCACCCAUUCAUCCACCCAUCCACCCACCCACCCACCCUUUCAUCCACCCAUCCACCCACUCACCCUUCCAGCUGUGGCACCUUGGGCAGCUGUUCUGCUCUAUGCUUGCUGACAAGGACACGACCGCCCCCAGUCACCUCCAGCCAGGUCCUUCCUCCCACAUCCCUGCCCCUCCCUUGGCUUUUUGCUCUGUAGCUGGCAGCUUUGCCGCCAAAGCUAACUGCUUUUCUCCUCUCUGCCACCAUAGAUCCG
rnacentral:lncRNA from 1 species